UACGUAGGGUGCAAGCGUUAUCCGGAUUCACUGGGUUUAAAGGGUGCGUAGGUGGGCAAGUAAGUCAGCGGUGAAAUCUCCGGGCUUAACCCGGAAACUGCCAUUGAUACUAUUUGUCUUGAAUACUGUGGAGGUCAGCGGAAUAUGUCAUGUAGCGGUGAAAUGCUUAGAUAUGACAUAGAACACCAAUUGCGAAGGCAGCUGGCUACACAAAUAUUGACACUGAGGCACGAAAGCGUGGGGAUCAAACAGG
rnacentral:rRNA from 1 species